CUUUAGAACACAAGCCUUUCCAGGGUUAUUAACCAUGCUAUAUAGUCAGCUCUGACUAACAGUUAUCAGUGUGAUGGCUUUCGCACUGUUGAACAAGGAGAUCCUUCCUCCAGAUGUGAUAGAGACAAGAUGACUUGGGGUGUGGAAGCCAAAAAGCUAUGGCAGAACCAUCCUGAUCCCUUGAUGGCAAGCAGUCUAUCCAGAAAGAAAGUUGUGGUAGGAAGACAUUUUCUCUCUUGUUUUUCUAAAAGAGGCACCAGUUCAUAUGGAGGAGUCUGAAGUUAAAUUCAGAGGUGCUGCAGGCUCAUCUCCCCAAAGCAUCUGCUGAAGCCUUCCUGGUCCUCAGAAAUACUGACUGAAGUGACAUGGUUUCUUCUCUUCCCAGGAUGCCUGACAGAAACCUGUUGCUGUCCACAACAUACGACAGGAAAGAGCAGGAAGGAGCUCAUGACAGAGACACAAAAAGGAUCCGAGGUCUCAGAGCUGCACUCUAAAGACAGGCUGCAUCAUUACAGAACUUCUACUCCAUACAGCCUUCCCUGACCCGGGAAAGAUAAAAAGGAAACAGCUGACCCUAAUAUGCAAACUGCCAUAAGCACUUCUUGCUUUUUCUAUUAGCAUAAGAUGGAUUGAGAUGGCUUGAGGCAGAUGUGGUUAAUAUUUCAUUCUCAGGGCUGUGUUGAAGUUGGGAGGACCAGGAAAGUCAACCAACAGAUUAAACAGUGGUGAAAGAAGAUGUUUUUAUUGGCCUCACUGGGAGCAGAAGGAAGAAUGAAUGAUUUGAGGGCAGAAAGGGCUUCAGCAAGUCUUGUAACCCUUUUUUCAACUUUGACUUCUCCAUAAUCUCAUGAAGAACUACUUUGCCUGUUCUUCAAAUGAACUUCUUGAACUCACAUUUCAUUUCUUUGUUUUUAAAUUUGGAUUUAUUUUUAACUGACAUAUAAAAUUGUACACAUUUAUGGGGUACUCUGGGAUUUGAUGCAUUGGACAAUGCAAUGUUUAAAAUCAGAUUGAAUGUAUCUAUCUCCUGAAACAUUUAUCAUUUCCUUAUAGUAAAAGUAUUCCUUUCUUCUAGCUUUUUGAGACAUGUAACACAUAAUUGCUAUUUGUAGUCACCCUACUGUACAUUAGCACACCAGAACUUUUUAUUCUGACGUAACUCUAACAUAGGACCUGUUGAUCAAUGUCUCCCUACCUCUCCCUCCCCACUACUAUCCCAGGUUCUGGUAACCACAUUCACUCUUAACUUCUUUUUUUCUUUUUCAUUAAGUUUACUGGUACAUGUUAGGUAUACAAUACAGUUACAGUCAUCAUUGGCAACUUGUAC
rnacentral:lncRNA from 1 species